rnacentral:rRNA from 1 species
CCUACGGGUGGCAGCAGUGGGGAAUAUUGCACAAUGGUGGAAACCCUGAUGCAGCGACGCCGCGUGAGUGAAGAAGUAUCUCGGUACUUAAAGCUCUCUCAGCAGGGAAGAAAAUGACGGUCCCUGACUAAGAAGCCCCGGCUAACUACGUGCCAGCAGCCGCGGUAAUACGUAGGGGGCAAGCGUUAUCCGGAUUUACUGGGUGUAAAGGGAGCGUAGACGGCAGCACAAGUCUGGAGUGAAAUCCCGGGGCUUAACCCCGGAACUGCUUUGGAAACUGUGCGGCUAGAGUGCAGGAGGGGUAAGCGGAAUUCCUAGUGUAGCGGUGAAAUGCGUAGAUAUUAGGAGGAACACCGGUGGCGAAGGCGGCUUACUGGACUGUAACUGACGUUGAGGCUCGAAAGCGUGGGGAGCAAACAGGAUUAGAUACCCGUGUAGUC